GAGAGAUGGCUCAGUGGUUAAGAGCACUGACUGCUCUUCCAGAGGUCCUGAGUUCAAAUCCCAAUGGUUCACA
rnacentral:tRNA from 1 species